GAUGAACGCUGGCGGCGUGCCUAAUACAUGCAAGUCGAGCGAACGGACGAGAAGCUUGCUUCUCUGAUGUUAGCGGCGGACGGGUGAGUAACACGUGGAUAACCUACCUAUAAGACUGGGAUAACUUCGGGAAACCGUAGCUAAUACCGGAUAAUAUUUUGAACCGCAUGGUUCAAAAGUGAAAGACGGUCUUGCUGUCACUUAUAGAUGGAUCCGCGCUGCAUUAGCUAGUUGGUAAGGUAACGGCUUACCAAGGCAACGAUGCAUAGCCGACCUGAGAGGGUGAUCGGCCACACUGGAACUGAGACACGGUCCAGACUCCUACGGGAGGCAGCAGUAGGGAAUCUUCCGCAAUGGGCGAAAGCCUGACGGAGCAACGCCGCGUGAGUGAUGAAGGUCUUCGGAUCGUAAAACUCUGUUAUUAGUGAAGAACAUAUGUGUAAGUAACUGUGCACAGCUUGACGGUACCUAAUCAGAAAGCCACGGCUAACUACGUG
rnacentral:rRNA from 1 species